rnacentral:rRNA from 1 species
UACAGAGGGUGCGAGCGUUGUCCGGAAUCACUGGGCGUAAAGGGCGCGUAGGCGGCUUGAUAAGCGUGCGGUGAAAGCCCGGGGCUCAACCCCGGGUCGGCCGUGCGAACUGUCGAGCUGGAGCACUGUAGAGGCAGGUGGAAUUCCGGGUGUAGCGGUGGAAUGCGUAGAGAUCCGGAAGAACACCGGUGGCGAAGGCGGCCUGCUGGGCAGUGGCUGACGCUGAGGCGCGACAGCGUGGGGAGCGAUCCGG